AAAAGGAGGUAGGCGGUGAUCUUAGGCAAAUCCGGGAUCACUUACGCCGAGCACCGAGACGAGUCCUAUGAGGACGAAGUGACUGACACCACGCUUCCAGGAAAAGCCACUAAGCUUCAGCUUAAGAAAAACCGUACCGCAAACCGACACAGGUAGGCAGGGUGAGAAUCCCAAGGCGCUUGAGAGAACUCGGGUGAAGGAACUAGGCAAAAUGGCACCGUAACUUCGGGAGAAGGUGCGCCCUUUGGUGUGGUCACGUGCGUGACUGAGCAUCGAAGGGUCGCAGUAACCUGGCCGCUGCGACUGUUUAUCAAAAACACAGCACUCUGCAAACACGAAAGUGGACGUAUAGGGUGUGGCGCCUGCCCGGUGCUGGAAGGUUAAUUGAUGGGGUCAGCCGCAAGGCGAAGCUCUUGAUCGAAGCCCCAGUAAACGGCGGCCGUAACAAUAACGGUCCUAAGGUAGCGAAAUUCCUUGUCGGGUAAGUUCCGACCUGCACGAAUGGCGUAACGACAGCGGCGCUGUCUCCACCCGAGACUCAGUGAAAUUGAAAUCGCUGUGAAGAUGCAGCGUUCCCGCGGCAAGACGGAAAGACCCCGUGAACCUUUACUAUAGCUUUACACUGAACGUUGAGUUCUUCUGUGUAGGAUAGGUGGGAGGCUAUGAAACCAGGACGCUAGUUCUGGUGGAGCCAUCCUCGAAAUACCACCCUGAAGUGCUUGACGUUCUAACCUAGGCCCGUAAUCCGGGUCAGGGACCGUGUAUGGUGGGUAGUUUGACUGGGGCGGUCUCCUCCCAAAGAAUAACGGAGGAGCACGAAGGUACGCUCAGCGCGGUCGGACAUCGCGCACUGUGUGCAAAGGCAUAAGCGUGCUUGACUGCGAGAUCGACGGAUCAAGCAGGUACGAAAGUAGGUCUUAGUGAUCCGGUGGUUCUGUAUGGAAGGGCCAUCGCUCAACGGAUAAAAGGUACUCCGGGGAUAACAGGCUGAUACCGCCCAAGAGUUCAUAUCGACGGCGGUGUUUGGCACCUCGAUGUCGGCUCAUCACAUCCUGGGGCUGUAGCCGGUCCCAAGGGUAUGGCUGUUCGCCAUUUAAAGUGGUACGCGAGCUGGGUUCAGAACGUCGUGAGACAGUUCGGUCCCUAUCUGUCGUGGGCGUUGGAGAUUUGAGGGGGGCUGCUCCUAGUACGAGAGGACCGGAGUGGACGUUCCGCUGGUGUUCGGGUUGUCAUGCCCAUGGCAUUGCCCGGUAGCUACGAACGGAAGUGAUAACCGCUGAAAGCAUCUAAGCGGGAAGCACGCCCCAAGAUGAGAUCUCCCGAGAGCUUGACUCUCCUAAGGCACCAUCAAGACUAGGUGGUUGAUAGGUCAGGUGUGGAAGCGCAGCAAUGCGUUGAGCUAACUGAUACUAAUGAGCCGUGAGGCUUGACCG
rnacentral:rRNA from 1 species